UCGCAGUUGAUGCGGCAGAAAGAAAGCUUGUCCAUUGCCACCUGUAAUCCUCUGCGUUUAGCAGGAAAUAUGUACAAACGAUAGUCACACAAACUGUCACAAUGCAGAGGAUAACCAGAACCAACAUCAUAAAGCCAUAAACAUAGUAGAUCUUGUAAGCCCAGAAUGAAGUAAAAAUGAAAUACAUUUCAAUAAAAAUUGAUCCAAAGGGGAGGAUUCCACCUAGGCAAACAAUAACAGCUGGUUCCAUGAACCUUUUUUUUCUGGUAUGGGACGAGGCACUGCAUUGACACGGCAUGGAAAAUUGGGCUGUCCUGACAGAUUUCGGCCAAGAAUCGUACCAACGAGGUUCAGUGGAAGAAUGACAAAGAAACAAAUACAACAUACUGCCACCAUGGUUCCAAACGGUAUAGCUCUUGAAGCAUGGUAAUAGAUGGCAAUGAAGUUAAUGAAGAAGGCAGUUCCACACACCAUUGCCGGAAUAAGGAAAGCUCCAAUGAACAUCUGUUUUAUCC
rnacentral:lncRNA from 1 species